ACAUCGGUGCACAGUGGUUAGUGCAGUCUGCCGGAAGCAGAUAGACGCGGGUUCAAUUCCCGUCCGAUGUC
rnacentral:tRNA from 1 species